UGUUUAGUAUAAAUAUGUUCCAUGCAAUAUUUGAUACAUACUUGUACUAAAA
rnacentral:pre_miRNA from 1 species